ensembl:lncRNA
CACUGGAGCAAGACUCUGGCAGGAGCAGAGGAAAAGUGUGGGGAGAAAGGAGCAGAAGAAAUGAAGUGUUAUGAAGUGACCACAGCCUCCAUUUCCUAUCUACCUUACACCACUCAUGGCCAGGGAGAAGGAAGAGAAGUCUCAGCUGGAGAAAUCCCUGAGGAAAGGGGAUUAGGAGGAGAAACCUCUAGCUCAGGCAACCUUGGAGUCUUUUCACAAGGAGGGAGCUCCAUACUUCAGCUGAUCUUCUGCAGGCAGACCCAGAUUUGCAAAUCUGCCAGUCCAUCAGCUUACCUACCCACUCGUAUCCAUCAUCCAUCACACUCCAGUUCAUGUACCUGUAAUUAAUGCUCCUGACUAUUGGUUGCAGCUGAAAAAGCAAACAGAGCACCUUGAAAGGCUAAGGAACAAAAGAUGGCUCCAUCUUCGUACUGUCCAGUGUUUGUCACACAAGUCCCAGUACAGAAGACUAAAUCAUGCU